GAUCCUUUCUGCUCUGCAGAGCCCUGCCAUUAAGCAUCUCAAAGAGACCUGGGGACAAGUUUCCAGGUGGGUAGGCUGCUCUCCAUCCAAGCACCACGAGAGUAAGGUGGACCAGGCAGACGGCAUUGGGUCGCCAUGGCCCCCACAGUCAGCUGAGACCACCUGGGAAACAGUGAAUGCCUGGGACACGGACUGAUCCGGUUCCUGGGUCUGAGCCUCUAAGGGCCCUUAGGCCAGCGGUUCUGCCCAGGCAUUCAUUUCCUUCAAUAUCAGAUCCUGACUUGAGCCCAGUUGGAGAUUCUCAAGUGUUUCCUUUGCAGCAACAGAAAUCUCCAUCCAACUGAAACCAAGAGUGUUCAAAACAGAUCUGUGUGGUAGAGAUGGGAAUGGAGGCCCCAGGUGACAACAGGAGAGGCCGCUCCCCAGUCCCAUGGGGACCUCGGGGCUGACAGCAACCCAGUGAAAUGCCUUAUCCAGGCCCCAGGCUGUUUGGAUCUUCUGGGAUCUCAAACAAACGGGAUUUGCCCUUCAACCAUCCCAUAGUCUUUCUAUCUUUCUUUCCCCACUCCCCCAGGGAGAGUUCCUACACCUUUAAGAAGUGGUGGAGGGGAGAGCAGCACGUGAGCAGGAGACUGUUCCUGAAGGGGAAUGUGCUCAGCUGUCGGAAUGAGGAAUUCAAAUUCAUCAAGGACAUCAAGCUGGUCCAGAAGGCUGCAAAUCUGUACACCGUGCAGCCCGACGAGCACUUUGGGGCCUGGUUCCAGGCCAUGGAGCCCCUGAGCAAGGAAGCGAGCUACAGCCUGUCCUGUCAGCUGGAGUCCCGAUACCAGUGGACCAGAAAAAUUCGACUCUUCUUCAAAGACAAGAAGAGCCGUGCAUCUUCCUGCCCAGGGCUGAACACCAGGUCCCCAAAAAAGAGCCCAGCGGUGAUGGCAGAUAAUGCUCCUGAGACCAGCUGAACCACAGAAGGGACACAGCGGGGACACUCAAGUGCACGGGGCCACGUCUCAGAUGCUGACAUGAAUGAUAACAUUGUGAUCCAUUCCCUGGGGUCCGCUGAAGGCCACAAGGGAGUGGACGACUCCCCCCACCAUCUCCCUCACACAUUUUCCCAAGCGCCUGUUUCCCUCUUUGGAGGGGCCAUGUUUUUGUUGUCAAUGAUAAAUGCUAAGUUUGGGUAUUUUAUUAAAUUUCUGUUUUGUUCUCAGCCUGGGAGUGGACAUGUGGUUCUUUCGCUCUCUGUGCUCAUGGAAAUGAGAUCCAGAAUCUCACAUUCCUCCUUGAAUUCAGAAACCUCGCAGAGUCCUCAGCUCAGG
rnacentral:lncRNA from 1 species